rnacentral:rRNA from 1 species
UUGGAGGGCAAGUCUGGUGCCAGCAGCCGCGGUAAUUCCAGCUCCAAUAGCGUAUAUUAAAGUUGUUGCAGUUAAAAAGCUCGUAGUUGAAUUUCGGGGUCAGUAGGUUGGUCAUGCCACUGGUAUGUACUGGUCUUACUGAUUCCUCCUUCCUGAUGAACCGUAAUGCCAUUAAUUUGGUGUUGCGGGGAGACUGGACUGUUACUUUGAAAAAAUUAGAGUGUUUAAAGCAGGCUAACGCUUGAAUACAUUAGCAUGGAAUAAUGAAAUAGGACGUUCGAUCCUAUUUUGUUGGUUUCUAGGAUUGACGUAAUGAUUAAUAGGGAUAGUUGGGGGCAUUAGUAUUCAAUUGUCAGAGGUGAAAUUCUUGGAUUUAUUGAAGACUAACUACUGCGAAAGCAUUUGCCAAGGAUGUUUUCAUUAAUCAAGAACGAAAGUUAGGGGAUCGAAGACGAUCAGAUACCGUCGUAGUCUUAACCAUAAACUAUGCCGACUAGGGAUCGGAUGAUGUUAAUUUUUUAAUGACUCAUUCGGCGCCUUACGGGAAAC